rnacentral:rRNA from 1 species
UGGGAACGUACCUUUUGGUUCGGAACAACCCAGGGAAACUUGGGCUAAUACCGGAUAAGCCCUUACGGGGAAAGAUUUAUCGCCAAAAGAUCGGCCCGCGUCUGAUUAGCUAGUUGGUGGGGCAAUGGCCCACCAAGGCUACGAUCAGUAGCUGGUCUGAGAGGAUGAUCAGCCACAUUGGGACUGAGACACGGCCCAAACUCCUACGGGAGGCAG